rnacentral:lncRNA from 1 species
AUAGUACAGUGGGCAAAUUACUUAAGGUGAAACUGGCACAUUUUUAAAGUUGUCUUCUGUCUAGAAAACCCUUUGCAAGAGGUGGAGGGCUUCCCACCCAACCUGGUUUCUGUCUUUGUAUACUUGUCUUUCUUUGCACCCUUAUUUUACUGUCUUUUUUUGUUGUUUAUCUGAUUAGUUAUACAUGCCAGUAGAAUGCAUUUUGACACAUCAAACAUAACUGGAGUAUAAUUUCUCAUCCAUCUGGUCGCACAGGAUGUAGAGUUACACAGGUCAUAUAUGCACAUAGGGAAAUAAUGUCCCAGUCAUUCUACUAUCAUUCCUACCUCUAUGUCCCCUCCCCUCCCUUUAUUCCCCUUAGUGAAUUAGCAUUCACUAAUUAGCAUUCACUUCCCCUCUCUCCUUAGUGAAUUAGCAUCUACCUAUCAGAGAAAACAUUCAGCCCUUGGUUCUUUGGGAUUGGCUUAGUUUGCUUACUGUAACAUCCUUUUAUUCAUGCAAGUGAUCAAAACCCCCUACAGAGAGGACAGUUAGUGUAUUUACCUCUCCAGUGACACUCUUCAUUCUUCUUGAUGGGAACUUUGUCCCACCUAAUAUCCAGGGAUGGACCCUCACUGGUUUGUAAGAGUAAAUGCUUACCUUGCUAAAAAAAGAAAAUCUCCAAGCCCUAGGUGUGCACAUGGAGAGUGCCUGCUGAGGGAGCCAGACCAAGCCUGAGGGGUCUCACCUGAGAUCUCUGAAAAUUAUGCAGAGCUUUGUCACAUUGAUUUUAGAAAUGAGCCAUCAAAAGAGCCUGCUACCCCUAACCAAUGAAUACUUUAAAGCCUAGAAUGUCUCCCUAAUAUAGAAUCAAUACUCCUUUACUCCUGUACAUGUAACCCUUAUUCAUGUAUAAAUUUUUACAGAAGAGGUAUAUCCCUAUGAGUGGCCUUGCUGGAUCAUAUGGUAAUCUGAUGUUUAAUUUUUUUGAGGAACUGCUA